rnacentral:rRNA from 1 species
GACGAACGCUGGCGGCGUGCUUAACACAUGCAAGUCGAACGGAGAAUUUUAUUUCGGUGAAAUUCUUAGUGGCGAACGGGUGAGUAACGCGUAGACAACCUACCUCUCAGAUGGGGACAACAUCGCGAAAGCGGUGCUAAUACCGAAUGAUGUAACUUUUCUGCAUGGAAGAGUUACCAAAGGCGGCCUCUAUUUAUAAGCUGUCACUGAGAGAUGGGUCUGCGUCUGAUUAGCUAGCUGGCGGGGUAAUGGCCCACCAAGGCGACGAUCAGUGGCCGGUCUGAGAGGAUGAACGGCCACAUUGGGACUGAGACACGGCCCAAACUCCUACGGGAGGCAGCAGUGGGGAAUCUUCCGCAAUGGACGAAAGUCUGACGGAGCAACGCCGCGUGAGUGAAGGAGGUUUUCGGAUCGUAAAGCUCUGUUGUUUGAGACGAACGUGCAAUUUUUGAAUAAGGAAUUGUAAUGACGGUAUUAAACGAGAAAGCCACGGCUAACUACGUGCCAGCCGCCGCCGUAAGAC